rnacentral:misc_RNA from 1 species
CUGAGGCAUCUCUAAUGGAACUCUCUCGUCUACCACACAGCACAACCGGCAAAAGAUAAAUGCCAAAUGAAUAAUUUUAUUGAAAAUACAAAAUAAUCUAACCAAAUUUACAACAAAUUAAACUCUUUUUUCCUGGAAUUCCAUGGUAAGUAAAAUAAAUAAAUAAAUAAGACACCAUGGCAGAGUAUAUGUGUGCACAUUGGUAAUACCAAUAGCAAAAAAACCCAUUUAAAAUUUGGGGCAAAUUAUCAAAAAAGUUCAUUUAUUGAAUAUCGCGCCGCAACUGAAUCAAAUUACUGGUCUUACUCUCAGUAAAGCAAGUCCAUCAAAAAGAACCAACCUUUCAAAUUUUUUCGACCACAUUUUUCAGAAAUGAAACAAGAAGUACUCAAUUAGAAGAAAAUUAAAACAAAACAAACAAAAAGGUGAAAAAAAAAAUUGAAGAAUGGAAUGCAGCGAAGAAGAAAAGAGAUUCACCGGAUUUGAAGAGAGAACCGUAGAGGACAAGAAGCCUCGAGACGGAAGGUUAGAAAGGAAUUUGGAAGCGCCAGUAGCCGUUGGAUUUGAAUCGGACGGGCGAGAAGACGAACCCUCCAUGGCGCUGGAAGGAAAAAG